GUUCCUGAUCUUCUGCUGAGGAAGCAAAGACACAACUGAGUGAAAUCAUGCUGAAGUUAGCGCUUGUGCUUGGAUGCCUCCUGAGUCUCACUCUGGCUCAACCUCUGGAGGAGCAUCAGAGAGUUGCUCGCUCAAAGUCAAACUCCAACUCAAACGAGGCCACGACUACAACAACCACCGCGGCAUCUUCAGCCACUCUGAACCAAAUCAUUGCCCUCCUCUUACAACGGCUCAUCGCUGGAUGAUAAAGUCUGGAAUGGAACCGUCCACUAAGAAGUGAUUAAGAAAUGUUUUGGAAUCAGUGAAACAGUUCAUAUUUUUACUGUUCUAAAUAAACGCAGCAAAUGAAAAUGAAAGAAACUGUUGUUUUCUUUUAAAUUUAUUAA